rnacentral:rRNA from 1 species
GUCCACACUGUAAACGAUGAUUACUCGAUGUUGGCGAUACACAGCCAGCGUCUUAGCGAAAGCGAUAAGUAAUCCACCUGGGGAGUACGCCCGCAAGGGUGAAACUCAAAGGAAUUGACGGGGUCGCACAAGCGGUGGAGCAUGUGGUUUAAUUUCGAUGAUACGCGAGGAACCUUACCCUGGGCUAGAAUGCCCUUGACAGAUCCAUAGAUGGAUUCUUCCGCAAGGACAAGGAGCAAGGUGCUGCAUGGCUGUCGU